UACGGAGGGGACUAGCGUUGUUCGGAAUUACUGGGCGUAAAGCGCACGUAGGCGGAUUUGUAAGUCAGGGGUGAAAUCCCGGGGCUCAACCUCGGAACUGUCUUUGAUACUGCAAAUCUCGAGUCCGGAAGAGGUGAGUGGAAUUCCUAGUGUAGAGGUGAAAUUCGUAGAUAUUCGCAGGAACACCAGUGGCGAAGGCGGCUUACUGGUCCAUUACUGACGCUGAGGUGCGAAAGCGUGGGGAGCAAACAGG
rnacentral:rRNA from 1 species